AGUGAAUGGUCACAGAGCCAUGAGCAGGUGGAAGAUGCAGGUGGAGGCAUCUUCCCUGUCACCGUUGGUAUGUCUGGUUGAAACCUGCAACAAGUUGGGUUCUCUACCUGGCUGACGCCAUGUUGCCUGCUUCUUCACUGUGCAUGUGGAGCCUGAGGGGAAUGUUUCAAGGAAGAGGGGACAAGCAAGUCAGCAUCUGGAGGAAUGGAGGCAGCACUGUGUUGCAUGGCUCCAGAGAACACCACUCUCUUUGUGUUCUAUGCAACAUGCCCACGAGUUAUGCAUUGCAGCACCUGGCCAUAAAUCAUCACCAACCCUAUGGAUGAAGCAACACCCCAGGGAGGGUGGAGAAGUACAGGGGAAGGAGCCAGGGCCCCCAUGAAACAAACAUUUCUUCCAGGAAUUUCCCAAGCCCAGACCAUUGCAUGAAAAGAGAAAUAAAAUACUCUUUUGUUUCCAUCACAUUGUUUUUGGUCUCAGUUGGAGCAGCAGACCCUAUAUUGCAACAAACAGACUCAAUCACCCUCAUUAUUAGGAAAGUCAGCUCUGCAGCAAUUCUUCCCUUAAACACCACAGGGUGUUUUGGGCGUUAAAGGAAAAACCUUAGAAAAACUAAAUGUAACAGAAUUUAAUUGAGUGAAAAAUGGUUCUUGAAUUGGGCAAUCCCCAAAACAGAAUAGGUUCAGAGAUGCUUCCAGGCUACCGCGUGGUCGAGGAUGAUUUAUGGGCAGAAAAAAGAGAGUGACAUAUGGAAAACAGAAGUAAGGAACAGAAACAGCUGGAUGGGUUCUAGCUUGGCGUUUGCCUUCUUUGAACAUGGUUUGAAGAGUUGGCUGUCUGUGAUUGGCUGAAACCCAGAGAUUGGUACUAGAGUUGGUUAUAGCCUGUUUACACAUCCAGUUAGGUGAUAGUUCACUAUGUAUGAAGAAACAUUUAAACCAAACUGAAUUUAACAUGGAUAAGACAAGGUCUUUCGUUAAAGGGCCAUGAGAGUGAAGGCAACUUUCACCUCCAGAGCCCCUGCCUUCUGUGCCUGGAUGCCCAGAGGGUCAUCAGCCUGUGUCAUCACGUGGAAUGUCAUCCAUCCUCCUCUGAGAGCCUCAGCAGGGUAAAGAUAUGGCAAAACCCAGACUGUUGUAUUCAUCGCUGUAUACCUAGAGUCCAUCACUGUACUAGCACACAGUAGGGCUCAGAGGUGCUGCUUGCUCAGUAAAGGACUGAAUGAACACAUUGAUGGCUAUAGCCAGUGAGUGAUGCACCAGAUGGGUGCUCACAUUCCUCCAUGCUUUGGCUCCAUCCAACCUAUCUGCUUCCUCUACAAUGUCUUCUUCCCAUGUGGACCAACAGCAGCAACAGCACCUGGGGACUUGUUAGAAUGCAAACUCAUAGGCUGCUCUCCAGACUGCCCAAGUUGGGAACUCUGGUGCUGGCGCGGGGUGCAGUAGUCUGUGUUUUAAUGCACCCACCAGGCGAUUCCAAUGCUGACUCGAGUUUGAGAGCCGCUGCUCGCCAUGAGUGUUUCACAAAUUGCAUAGCACAGCCAUUCCUUUGUUGUUCCCUCUACCUGGGAUGCCUUUCUCCCUAUCUCUGUCAGUAGCAGACUCACUCAUGUUUGGGGGACUCUGAACACGCCACCUCCUCCAGAAAGUAUCCCCAGAUCCCCACAGUCUGGAGGAAUAACUCCCUGGGGAUACUCACAGGCUGUGCUUGUCUCUUCAAUCCCUGGUUUAUUCAGGCCAGAGCUUCCUGCCUCCCCAACUGGGAUGUGAGCUCCUUUCUGCAGUACCAGGUUUUCUUCAACUCCCCAGCCCCUGGCUCCAUCGAGCCAAACUUACAUUGGUAUUCAAUAAAUGCUGUUGGUUUGGUUUUUUUGUUUUUUUUUUUUUUUUUUUGAGACGGA
rnacentral:lncRNA from 1 species